GACGAACGCUGGCGGCGCGCCUAACACAUGCAAGUCGAACGAGCGAGAGAGCUUGCUUUCUCGAGCGAGUGGCGAACGGGUGAGUAACGCGUGAGGAACCUGCCUCAAAGAGGGGGACAACAGUUGGAAACGACUGCUAAUACCGCAUAAGCCCACGACCCGGCAUCGGGUAGAGGGAAAAGGAGCAAUCCGCUUUGAGAUGGCCUCGCGUCCGAUUAGCUAGUUGGUGAGGUAACGGCCCACCAAGGCGACGAUCGGUAGCCGGACUGAGAGGUUGAACGGCCACAUUGGGACUGAGACACGGCCCAGACUCCUACGGGAGGCAGCAGUGGGGAAUAUCGCACAAUGGGGGAAACCCUGAUGCAGCGACGCCGCGUGGAGGAAGAAGGUCUUCGGAUUGUAAACUCCUGUUGUUGAGGAAGAUAAUGACGGUACUCAACAAGGAAGUGACGGCUAACUACGUG
rnacentral:rRNA from 1 species